AAGGUUCGGAAAGACAAUCGCUACUGACUUGGUUCAGUAGAGGAAAGUCCGGACACCAAAGAGCACCGUAGCGGGUAACGCCCGUCCAGCGAAAGCUGCGGACCAGCGCAACAGAAAGGAAGUACAGAGCUUUGACCUUUUGGUCGGGAUUUAUCUGACUGGCACCCAGAUAAAAAAGAGGUUUCCUCAAGCUGCUGUAGUGAAAUCAGGCAAGCUCUACGGGGUGCAAGGUCAAAUCGUGAAGUGAUGCAAGUUUCUCUCAAGAGGGCUUGCCCCAAGUGACUCGCUUGGAAACUUCCAGGUAGACUGCUGGAUCGCCAAGGCAACUUGGCGACUAGAGGAAUGAUUGUCAAAGAGCUUCGGCUCUCUUACAGAAUCCGGCUUAACUCCGGGCCUUCCCU
rnacentral:RNase_P_RNA from 1 species